rfam:Capsicum annuum cultivar Zunla-1 chromosome 2, whole genome shotgun sequence
UAUCCUGAAAACACUAAAGUACACAAUUAAAUGCAAUAAUAGUUACUUGAAAACACACAAUUAUCCUAAGAAAAAGGCCUAAAAAUUCCAUCAAAAGCUGAGACAUCAGGGGGCGCUCGAGAGAGUGAGAGCCCCAUUGUGCCCGAACCUUGUCAUACCAUGAGGCACUAUCUAUGAGUCGGUUUGUUUAGGAAUCUAGCCCAAAUCAGGUGGUGAAUUCCAUCCAAGGCUAAAUACGGGCAAGAGGCUGAUAGCAAACAAGUACCGCAAGGGAAAGAUGAAUAGGACUUUCAAAAGAGAGUCAAAGAGUGCUUGAAAUUAUUGGAAGGAAAGGGGAUGGGGGAUAAUGAUGUGCCCCGAUUGGAUAAGAAAUGGCAAUGAGCCGGUCUGCCGAUCGAGUCGAGGCAUAGACCAACAUGGAUUGAGGGGGCUGCCAAAGCCUGGGUCUCAAUAUGCUCAUUGAACACCAUCUCCUUAAAUGUCGUAGGUAGAGCACGGCUCUGGCGUGAUUCGACAUCUAUGUGCUCUGAACGCUACCCUGUGGGCUCCCCAUUUGACCCAUCUUGAAACACGGACCAAGGAGUCUGACAUGUAUGCGAGUCAAUGACCGAGUAAACCUUUAAAGCAUAAGGAAGAUGAUUGGUGGGAUCCCCCUCAGGGGUAAACCUCCGACCGACCUUGAUCUUCUGAGAAGGAUCCAAGUGGGAGCAUACCUUUCAUGACCCAAAAGAUGGUAAACUAUGCCUGUGCGGGGCGAAGCUAGAGGAAACUCUAGUAGAGGCCCGCAACGAUAGUGACGUGCAAAUCAUUCAUCUGACUUGGGUAUAGGGGAGAAAGACUAAUUGAACUGUCUAGUAGCAGUUUCCCACAGGAUAGGAGCAGCUCGCGUGCGAGUUCUAUUGGGUAAACCUAAUGAUUAGAGUCUUCGGGGGCACAAUGCCCUCGACCUAUUCUAAAACUUAAAAUAGGUAGGAAUGGCAUGGUUUCUUUGUUGAGUCGCACAACAGAUUCAAGAGCUCCAAGUGGACCAUUUUUGGUAAGAAGAAUUUGCAAUAUGGGAUGAACCAAAAGCUAGGUUACAGUGCCAAACUGCGCGCUAACCUAGAUCCCACAAAUGGUGCUGGUCGAUGAAAACAGUAGGACGGUGGUCAUGGAAGUCAAAAUUCGCUAAGGAGUAUGUAACAACUCACCUUUCGAAUCAACUACCAUCAAAAAUAGAUGGCGCUUAAGCACGCAACCUAUACUCGAUCAUCGGCGGUCGCUGUAAAACAUUGGGUGCAAGCCCGGGCGCGAGUGGUCAUCGGUGCAGAUCUUGGUGGUAGUAGCAAAUAUUCAAAUUAGAUCUUUGAAAGAUGAAGAAGGAAAAGGUUCCAUGUAAAAGGCACUUGCAUAUCUGUUAGUUAAUCCUAAGGGUCGGGGGAACCCUGAUAGAUAGCGUGUUUUGCACGUAUUCCAAAAGAGAAUCAGGUUAAAAUUCCUGAAAUGGUAUGUGGUGGUUAAUGACAAUGUUAGGAAGUUUGGAGACAUUGGCUGGAGCCUCGAGAAGGGUUAUCUUUUCUGUUUAACAACCUUCCCACCCUGGAAUCGGCUCAGCCAGAGAUAGGGUCCAGCGGCUGGAAGAAUAACGCACGUGGAGUGGUUUCUAAUACAUUCCUGGUGGCCCUUAAAAAUCUGGAUGACCAAAUAUCAACCCUUCCCGAUCAUACUUAUUACCACACAGUUCUCGAAGCUAAACAGCCUCUAGUCGAUGGAAUAAUGUAGUCAAGGAAAUUCAGAAAAAUAGAUCCAAAAUUUUAGGAAAAGGAUUUAAUCUGAGGACUGGGCACGGUGGUCAAGGUCUCAAACUCGUCGACUGUCGGUGGAUUAAUCUAGCUACUUCUACAAUGAGAGAGGGUCACCGUAGGCUAUCCGGGGGACGAACAAGGAACGGUUCCUUCGGGGGCCUUCCUCGUAUGUAGAACAGCUAACUCAGUACUGGUACAGACAAGGGGAAUCUGACAAUUUAAUUAAAACAAAUCAUUGAAAUAGUCCCAAUGGAUAUUUAUGCAAUGUGAUUUCUGCCUAGUUCUCUGAAUGUCAAAGUGAAGAAAUUCAACCAAGCACGGGUAAAUGGCGGGAGUAACUAUGACUCUCUUAAGGUAACCAAAUGCCUCGUCAUCUAAUUAGUGAUGCACAUAAAUGGAUUAACGAGAGUCUCACUGUCCCUGUCUACUAUCCAGCAAAACCACAGCCAAGGGAAGUAGCUUGGCAGAAUCAGUGGAGAAAAAAGACCCUGUUGAGCUUAAAUCUAGUCCGACUUUGUGAAAUGACUUGAGAGGUGUAGUAAAAGUGGGAGCCGAAAGGCGAAAGUGAAAUACUACUACUUUUAACUUUAUUUUACUUAUUCCAUAAAUCAAAAUGGUGCAUUGCCCCUCUUUUUAGACCCAAGGCUCGCUCUGUGGGCCAAUCCGAGUGGAAGAAAUUGUUAGGUAGGGAGUUUCUCUAGGGAAGCACAUCUUUUAAAAGAUAACACAGGUGUCCUAAGAUGAGCUCAACGAUAAUAAAUAUCUCGUAUGGAACAGAAGGAUAAAAACUUGUUUUAUUAUGAUUUCCAGUACGAAUAUAAAUCGUCAAAGCAUGGCCUAAUAAUCCUUCAGACCUUCAGAAUUCGAAGCUAGAGGUGUUAGAAAAAUUAUGACAGGAAGAACUACCUUGUGGAAGCCAAGCGUUCAUAGCGACGUUGCUUUUUUAUCCUUCAAUGUUGGCUCUUCCUAUCAUUGUGAAGAAGAAUUCUCCAAGUCUUGAAUUGUUCACCCACCAAUAGGGAAGGUGAGAUGGAUUUAGACCAAUGUGAGAGAGGUUAGUUUUACCCUACUGAUGACAGUGUUGAAAUAGUAAUUCAACAAAGUAUGAGAAAAAUUGUUGAUUCACACAAUUGGUCAUCGCGCAUGGUUGAAAAUCUAGUAGCUUGAAGCUACCAUGUGCUAGAUUAUGACUAAAGGCCUCUUAAGUCAGAAUCUGAGCUAAAAGUGAUGCAUGCUCCUGCCGUCUGCUUGCCGACCUGCAGUAGGGGCCUCGGCCCCCAAGGGGACGUGUCGUUAGCUAAGCCAUUAUAGCAGAAGGGUCAUGAUUACUGCCUUAAAGUAUAAUUUCCAUCGAGCGGUGGGUAGUAUUCUUUACAGACAACUUAAAUAUAUGAUGCGGUGGCCUUACUUCCACGAUCAACUGAGAUUAUGACUACCAUGUCCAGGAUUAUAAAUAAUGGUCUCUUAAGUCAGAAUCUGAGCUAAAAGCGAUGCAUGCUCCUGUCGUUCGCUUGCCGACCUGCAGUAGGGGCCUUGGCCCCCAAGGGGACGUGUCUUUGGCUAAGCCAUCACAGCAGAAGGAUCAUGAUUACUUCCUUAAAGUAUAAUUUCCAUCGAGUGGUGGGUAGUAUCCUUUACAGACAAAUUAAAUACGUGAUGCGGUAUUGUAAGUGGCAGAGUGGCCUUACUGCCACGAUCCACUGAGAUUCAUCCCUUUGUCACUCCGGUUCAU